GAUUAAGCCAUGCAUGUCUCAGUUCACACCCUCGCACGGUGAAACCGCGAAUGGCUCAUUAAAUCAGUCGAGGUUCCUUAGAUGAUCCAUUUCUACCUGGAUAACUGUGGCAAUUCUAGAGCUAAUACAUGCGGACCAGCUCCGACCCGGUGUCGCAGCCGGGAAAGAGCGCUUUUAUUAGUUCAAAACCAGUCGGCGGGUCCGCCCUUCGCGGGGUGCGGCCAGCCGUCCCCUUUUGGUGACUCUGGAUAACUUUGUGCCGAUCGCAUGGCCUCGAGCCGGCGACGCAUCUUUCAAAUGUCUGCCCUAUCAAAUGUCGAUGGUACGUGAUAGGCCUACCAUGUUGGCUACGGGUGACGGGGAAUCGGGG
rnacentral:rRNA from 1 species